GACGAACGCUGGCGGCGUGCUUAACACAUGCAAGUCGAACGGAAAGGCGCGGCGGGUGUGGGGUGCUCGGGUGGCGAACGGGUGGGUAACACGUGAGUAACCUGCCGUUGACUUGGGGAUAACUUGAGGAAGAUGGGGCGAAUAACGGAGAGGAGGUCCUGCGGCAGGGUGGGGGGGGGAAAGUUACGGCGGAUGGGGAUGGACUCGCGGCUGAUCAGCUUGUUGGUGGAGGAGUGGCUUACCAAGGCUUUGACGGGUAGCCGGCCUGAGAGGGUGACCGGCCACAUUGGGACUGAGAUAGGGCCCAGACUCGUAUGGGAGGCAGCAGUGGGGACUCUUGCCCAACGGGCGCACGCCUGAUGAAGCAACGCGGCGUUCGGGAUGCAGGUCUUCGGGUUGUAAACCGCUUUCCGCUGUGACCACGCUCGAGUGACGGUAAUCAGUAAAGAAGCACCGGCUAACUCCGUG
rnacentral:rRNA from 1 species